rnacentral:rRNA from 1 species
GGGUUGUGAGGUUAAGCGACUAAGCGUACACGGUGGAUGCCCUGGCAGUCAGAGGCGAUGAAGGACGUGCUAAUCUGCGAUAAGCGUCGGUAAGGUGAUAUGAACCGUUAUAACCGGCGAUUUCCGAAUGGGGAAACCCAGUGUGAUUCGUCACACUAUCAUUAACUGAAUCCAUAGGUUAAUGAGGCGAACCGGGGGAACUGAAACAUCUAAGUACCCCGAGGAAAAGAAAUCAACCGAGAUUCCCCCAGUAGCGGCGAGCGAACGGGGAGCAGCCCAGAGCCUGAAUCAGUGUGUGUGUUAGUGGAAGCGUCUGGAAAGGCGCGCGAUACAGGGUGACAGCCCCGUACACAAAAAUGCACAUACUGUGAGCUCGAUGAGUAGGGCGGGACACGUGGUAUCCUGUCUGAAUAUGGGGGGACCAUCCUCCAAGGCUAAAUACUCCUGACUGACCGAUAGUGAACCAGUACCGUGAGGGAAAGGCGAAAAGAACCCCGGCGAGGGGAGUGAAAAAGAACCUGAAACCGUGUACGUACAAGCAGUGGGAGCACGCUUAGGCGUGUGACUGCGUACCUUUUGUAUAAUGGGUCAGCGACUUAUAUUCUGUAGCAAGGUUAACCGAAUAGGGGAGCCGAAGGGAAACCGAGUCUUAACUGGGCGUUAAGUUGCAGGGUAUAGACCCGAAACCCGGUGAUCUAGCCAUGGGCAGGUUGAAGGUUGGGUAACACUAACUGGAGGACCGAACCGACUAAUGUUGAAAAAUUAGCGGAUGACUUGUGGCUGGGGGUGAAAGGCCAAUCAAACCGGGAGAUAGCUGGUUCUCCCCGAAAGCUAUUUAGGUAGCGCCUCGUGAAUUCAUCUCCGGGGGUAGAGCACUGUUUCGGCAAGGGGGUCAUCCCGACUUACCAACCCGAUGCAAACUGCGAAUACCGGAGAAUGUUAUCACGGGAGACACACGGCGGGUGCUAACGUCCGUCGUGAAGAGGGAAACAACCCAGACCGCCAGCUAAGGUCCCAAAGUCAUGGUUAAGUGGGAAACGAUGUGGGAAGGCCCAGACAGCCAGGAUGUUGGCUUAGAAGCAGCCAUCAUUUAAAGAAAGCGUAAUAGCUCACUGGUCGAGUCGGCCUGCGCGGAAGAUGUAACGGGGCUAAACCAUGCACCGAAGCUGCGGCAGCGACGCUUAUGCGUUGUUGGGUAGGGGAGCGUUCUGUAAGCCUGUGAAGGUGUGCUGUGAGGCAUGCUGGAGGUAUCAGAAGUGCGAAUGCUGACAUAAGUAACGAUAAAGCGGGUGAAAAGCCCGCUCGCCGGAAGACCAAGGGUUCCUGUCCAACGUUAAUCGGGGCAGGGUGAGUCGACCCCUAAGGCGAGGCCGAAAGGCGUAGUCGAUGGGAAACAGGUUAAUAUUCCUGUACUUGGUGUUACUGCGAAGGGGGGACGGAGAAGGCUAUGUUGGCCGGGCGACGGUUGUCCCGGUUUAAGCGUGUAGGCUGGUUUUCCAGGCAAAUCCGGAAAAUCAAGGCUGAGGCGUGAUGACGAGGCACUACGGUGCUGAAGCAACAAAUGCCCUGCUUCCAGGAAAAGCCUCUAAGCAUCAGGUAACAUCAAAUCGUACCCCAAACCGACACAGGUGGUCAGGUAGAGAAUACCAAGGCGCUUGAGAGAACUCGGGUGAAGGAACUAGGCAAAAUGGUGCCGUAACUUCGGGAGAAGGCACGCUGAUAUGUAGGUGAAGUCCCUCGCGGAUGGAGCUGAAAUCAGUCGAAGAUACCAGCUGGCUGCAACUGUUUAUUAAAAACACAGCACUGUGCAAACACGAAAGUGGACGUAUACGGUGUGACGCCUGCCCGGUGCCGGAAGGUUAAUUGAUGGGGUCAGCGCAAGCGAAGCUCUUGAUCGAAGCCCCGGUAAACGGCGGCCGUAACUAUAACGGUCCUAAGGUAGCGAAAUUCCUUGUCGGGUAAGUUCCGACCUGCACGAAUGGCGUAAUGAUGGCCAGGCUGUCUCCACCCGAGACUCAGUGAAAUUGAACUCGCUGUGAAGAUGCAGUGUACCCGCGGCAAGACGGAAAGACCCCGUGAACCUUUACUAUAGCUUGACACUGAACAUUGAGCCUUGAUGUGUAGGAUAGGUGGGAGGCUUAGAAGUGUGGACGCCAGUCUGCAUGGAGCCGACCUUGAAAUACCACCCUUUAAUGUUUGAUGUUCUAACGUUGACCCGUAAUCCGGGUUGCGGACAGUGUCUGGUGGGUAGUUUGACUGGGGCGGUCUCCUCCUAAAGAGUAACGGAGGAGCACGAAGGUUGGCUAAUCCUGGUCGGACAUCAGGAGGUUAGUGCAAUGGCAUAAGCCAGCUUGACUGCGAGCGUGACGGCGCGAGCAGGUGCGAAAGCAGGUCAUAGUGAUCCGGUGGUUCUGAAUGGAAGGGCCAUCGCUCAACGGAUAAAAGGUACUCCGGGGAUAACAGGCUGAUACCGCCCAAGAGUUCAUAUCGACGGCGGUGUUUGGCACCUCGAUGUCGGCUCAUCACAUCCUGGGGCUGAAGUAGGUCCCAAGGGUAUGGCUGUUCGCCAUUUAAAGUGGUACGCGAGCUGGGUUUAGAACGUCGUGAGACAGUUCGGUCCCUAUCUGCCGUGGGCGCUGGAGAACUGAGGGGGGCUGCUCCUAGUACGAGAGGACCGGAGUGGACGCAUCACUGGUGUUCGGGUUGUCAUGCCAAUGGCACUGCCCGGUAGCUAAAUGCGGAAGAGAUAAGUGCUGAAAGCAUCUAAGCACGAAACUUGCCCCGAGAUGAGUUCUCCCUGACCCUUUAAGGGUCCUGAAGGAACGUUGAAGACGACGACGUUGAUAGGCCGGGUGUGUAAGCGCAGCGAUGCGUUGAGCUAACCGGUACUAAUGAACCGUGAGGCUUAACCUUACAACGCCGAAGCUGUU